UACGUAGGGUGCAAGCGUUGUCCGGAAUUAUUGGGCGUAAAGAGCUCGUAGGCGGUUUGUCGCGUCGGCUGUGAAAACUCGGGGCUCAACCCCGAGCCUGCAGUCGAUACGGGCAGACUAGAGUGCUGUAGGGGAGACUGGAAUUCCUGGUGUAGCGGUGAAAUGCGCAGAUAUCAGGAGGAACACCGGUGGCGAAGGCGGGUCUCUGGGCCGAUACUGACGCUGAGGAGCGAAAGCGUGGGGAGCGAACCGG
rnacentral:rRNA from 1 species